rnacentral:pre_miRNA from 1 species
CAUGGUUGUCGAGGGGAAUGACNCCGGGUCCNAAAGAGAGACNCUCGCAUGGCGUGCGCGUGGUGCGUUUCGGACCAGGCUUCAUUCCCCAUGACUCCAU